GUGGGGAAUAUUGGGCAAUGGGCGAAAGCCUGACCCAGCAACGCCGCGUGAAGGAAGAAGGUUUUCGGAUUGUAAACUUCUGUCCUCAGGGAAGAAGGAAGUGACGGUACCUGAGGAGGAAGCCCCGGCUAACUACGUGCCAGCAGCCGCGGUAAUACGUAGGGGGCGAGCGUUGUCCGGAAUGACUGGGCGUAAAGGGCGCGUAGACGGCUGUCUAAGUCUGGAGUGAAAGUCCUGCUUUCAAGGUGGGAAUUGCUUUGGAGACUGGAUGGCUUGAGUGCGGAAGGGGUAAGUGGAAUUCCCAGUGUAGCGGUGAAAUGCGUAGAGAUUGGGAAGAACACCAGUGGCGAAGGCGACUUACUGGGCCGUAACUGACGUUGAUGCGCGAAAGCGUGGGGAGCAAACAGGAUUAGAUACCCGGGUAGUCC
rnacentral:rRNA from 1 species